CCUACGGGUGGCAGCAGUGGGGAAUAUUGCACAAUGGGGGAAACCCUGAUGCAGCGACGCCGCGUGAGUGAAGAAGUAUUUCGGUAUGUAAAGCUCUGUCAGCAGGGAAGAAAAUGACGGUACCUGACCAAGAAGCCCCGGCUAACUACGUGCCAGCAGCCGCGGUAAUACGUAGGGGGCAAGCGUUAUCCGGAUUUACUGGGUGUAAAGGGAGCGUAGACGGCAGGGCAAGUCUGGAGUGAAAGGCGGGGGCUCAACCCCCGGACUGCUCUGGAAACUGGGGAACUUGAGUGCAGGAGAGGAGAGUGGAAUUCCUAGUGUAGCGGUGAAAUGCGUAGAUAUUAGGAGGAACACCAGUUGCGAAGGCGGCUCUCUGGACUGUAACUGACACUGAGGCACGAAAGCGUGGGGAGCAAACAGGAUUAGAUACCCUUGUAGUC
rnacentral:rRNA from 1 species